UGAGAUAUGGCUCAGUGGUAGAGCACUUGCUUAGCAGGCAUGAGACCCUAAGUUCAAUUUCCAGUACUUCAC
rnacentral:tRNA from 1 species